GGCACUUUAAUGUUUUCAGUGUAACAGCUCCACAUGUUAUGGAGAAAGAGUGGUUCUGGAAUCAGAGAGAGUUGAGCAAAAAAUCUCCCCUGUGACACAAACCAGCUCUGCGACCCAGGAAGAGUUACUUAACUUCUCUGUUUCAGUUCGAAAGAACAAAGCGAAGAUAAAAAUAUUUUAAUUUUACAGUGUUUUGAAUAUAAAAUUCAAUAAGGCAAUAAGUUUGUUGGAAACGGUGAAGGCGCCGAGCUUUUACCUGCUUUGGAGUUAACAGGUCAUUCUGUAACACUUCCAGGGGUGUGGACAGAAGGCACAGGAGUCCUUGUUCAGACACCGAGGGCUUCAUCACUCAUGGCAUAACUGGGACAUGAACACCAGCAUCUUUUCAUCAGUUCUCUUUGUCCCCAAAUCCCACGUGGCAAUGUGAAUGGUCCCAGAUGGCUGCAUGCCCACAUGAGUGGGUUAAGUUCUGGAAGCAAGUGCUGGGCUUGGAGAAGCUGAGUCCAUUAUAAUGGGCAGUAAGCACGCCCACCCUCCACUCUGGAGGGAAACACUGUCUCCGUCCUCCAAGGCCACUUGUUCCACAAACAACCUUGCAAAGAUGGUCCAGAACAAAGGACAGCCUGCGCCUCACUGACACCAUGUGACGAAUGAGAGAGACCCAUGGAGAACAGUCUCUCAACACGGAUGGGCCCCUCCACUUGCUGUCUACCUGCUGUCAAAGGGGCCACAUGCAGUACUGCAAGGCCCAUACGGUCCCUGGGAGUCUGCACACCAGGCAUCUCCCUCCAUCCCAGAGCUCUGCAAGGACCUCGGCUUCUGAAGGAGAGCUUCUUCACAUACAGUAAUAGACCCACUCAACUACUUCAAAAAAGUCACUACAUCCCCCCAAACCAGCCAUGAACUGCCAGAAGAAGGCGGAGGAGGAAGAGAGAUCAAGUCCUCCUUAAAACCUGGAGAGAACAAAGGCCUGGGCACCAGCUGACUGCAAGGUGGACAGGACCACACGUGGUAUUACUCACCAUGCAUUCAUCUGUCAAAUUGGCUGGGAUAAAGCCUUGGAUUCAUCACACUUGCAUUAAAGCUGCACCACCAUCAUCUAAAAUGACCCAACUCCUGAGAGGCUUGGAGAGCAGUGGGUUUGUGAACCUUUAGAAGACUUAAGGUUGCUCUUCAAAAAGGAUAAGUGUUGAGACUGCAAUUUCUUUACAGCUUGAGAAGGGUGGGUCAAUCUACUUGUUUAAUCCUGUUCUACUGAACAACAGAGCAUCAGGUUCAAAUAACUGAGAGUUAUACUAUUUACUAAAAAUUCUGUAACUGAUCAGGACCCUAUGGGGCCUUCCUGGGACAGACCUUCCCCCAUGUCCCCUGCUUUAGCUGCUCUCUGAAGUACAUAGAUAAUAGUAUUUGAUGCAAAUUUCCUGAGUUGUUUUGCAGAUGUGAAAACCCCUCACCAAAUGGAAGAUGUUAACUACUCGAUGACCAGAAGCACAUAACCCCAGGCUUCCUGGAGCCUAAAGGCUGAUAAAGUUAACCCCUGUGACACCACCCUGCUGCCUUACCAUCAGCCAAUCAGAGAAAUGUGCACGAUCUGAUCACCCCCUCAACCUGGCUUUUAAAAAUGCUUUGCUGAAACCCUUCGGGGAGCUCAAGGAUUUUUAAGGCAUGAGCCACUUUGUAUCCUUGCGUGGUCUUGCAAUAAACCUUUCUCUGCUCCAAACUCUGAUGUUUCAGUUUGUUUGGCCUCACUGUGCAUCCAGCACAUGAACUUGCAUUAACAAUUCUAAGAAUUAUCCCCUGCCCAAGGCUGAUCAGUUCCAUUCCAUGAUCACCCCUCAUUACCCCUACACAGCAGGAAGUAGCCAAGAGUGGUCAUCGUCCCCACAAGAUUGUGGAAUGGGGAUUGAUCGUGGGGAAUUGUAACAGGGAAGAGGGAAAUCUGACUCCAUGUUGGAUCUGUUUCUUUUACUUUAACCUUUGCUUUUUGUUGCUUUUGUUAUUAUAAUCACUAAAAGGAUGCUGUCUAUAGCUGUAAGCAUAAAUAAUGACCUGUCACAGGGAACCCUGCUCAACUAUGAAUGGCUGCAGAAAAGAAGAAAUUAACACAUCCCCUCCCUGAUGCGGGCCAAGAAAGGAGAUAUCUUACAAGACUAAUGGCCUUUUACUUUACUUCCUCACCACUUCUCCCUCUCUGUUCUAUAAGAGAA